GAGUUUGAUCCUGGCUCAGAGCGAACAUUGGCGGUAGGCUUAACACAUGCAAGUCGAGCGAGGCGUAAUAGUCGAGCGGCGAACGGGUGAGUAAUACUUGGGAAUCUACCCUGAAGUGGGGGAUAACGUCCAGAAAUGGACGCUAAUACCGCAUAAUCCAUAUCGGGAAAGCGCGCUGCGCUUUAGGAUGAGCCCAAGCCUGAUUAGCUAGUUGGUGGGGUAAAGGCCUACCAAGGCGACGGUCCAUAGCUGGUCUGAGAGGAUGAUCAGCCACACUGGGACUGAGACACGGCCCAGACUCCUACGGGAGGCAGCAGUGGGGAAUAUUGGACAAUGGGCGCAAGCCUGAUCCAGCCAUGCCGCGUGAGUGAUGAAGGCCCUAGGGUUGUAAAGCUCUUUCAACGGUGAAGAUAAUGACGGUAGCCGUAGAAGAAGCCCCGGCUAACUUCGUGCCAGCCGCCGCCGUAAG
rnacentral:rRNA from 1 species